UUAUGUUUUGCAGCAGUGAGCCGCCGGGUGCUAAUGUCCGGCGACAAAAGAGGAACAACUCAGACCAUCAUCUAAGGCCCCGAAGAAUACACUAAGUUGAACUAACGAUGUGCGACUGCAGCGACAGCUAGGAUGUUAGCUUGGAAGCAGCUAUUCAUUUAAAGAGUGCGUAACAGCUCACUAGUCGAGCGGUUGUGCGUGGAUAAUAAACGGGCAUCAAGUGUAUCGCCGAAGCUAUGGACUCUACGGAGUGGUAGGGGAGCAUUCCAUCGACGUUGAAGCCGUGUCGUAAGGCAUGGUGGAGUUUAUGGAAAAGCAAAUGUAGGCAUAAGUAACGAUAAGGCGGGAGAGAAACCCGCCCACCGCAAGACCAAGGUUUCCUGAUCAACGCUAAUCGGAUCAGGGUUAGUCGGGUCCUAAGGGUAAGCCGUCAGGUGAUCUCGAUGGACAAUCGGUUAAUAUUCCGAUACCGAUGCAUACUGCGACGGAGGGACGGAGAAGCGUAAGCUGCGCCAACAUACGGAAUUGUUGGUUAAAGAGCGUAGGUAUAGGACGACGUUAAUAGCGACGUUUUGCUGAAACUCGACAGUACCGAGCGGCUACGGCCAAUCGGAUAGUCAGCCCAAGCAAGCUUCCGAGAAAAACUUCUAAGCUUCAGGUAUGCAUCGCCCGUACCGUAAACCGACACAGGUGGUCGAGGAGAGUAUCCUCAGGUGCUUGAGUGAAUCACGGAUAAGGAACUAGGCAAAUUGACCCCGUAACUUAGGGAUAAGGGGUCCCCACGUGAGUGGGGCGCAGCGAAAAGGUCCAGGCAACUGUUUAACAAAAACAUAGGGCUAUGCUAAUUCGAGAGAAGACGUAUAUGGCCUGACACCUGCCCGGUGCUGGAAGGUUAAGAGGGGAUGUUAGCGCAAGCGAAGCAUUGAAUCGAAGCCCCAGUAAACGGCGGCCGUAACUAUAACGGUCCUAAGGUAGCGAAAUUCCUUGUCGGGUAAGUUCCGACCUGCACGAAUGGUGUAAUGAUCUGGACACUGUCUCGUCCGUGAGCUCAGUGAAAUUGUAGUCCCGGUGAAGAUGCCGGGUACCCGCAACGGGACGAAAAGACCCCGUGAACCUUUACUGCAGCUUAACGCUGAAUUUGGGUGCAUGAUGUGUAGGAUAGGCAGGAGACUGCGAAGCAGGUACGCCAGUAUUCGUGGAGUCGCCGUUGAAAUACUGCCCUUUGUGUAUUUGAAUUCUAACCCUGUUCAGGGGACACCGUUUGGUGGGUAGUUUGACUGGGG
rnacentral:rRNA from 1 species